CCUAGUAAGCAUGAGUCAUCAGCUCGUGCUGAUUACGUCCCUGCCCUUUGUACACACCGCCCGUCGCUACUACCGAUUGAAUGGCUUAGUGAGACCCUCGGAUCGACAAGUGGAGACCUUCACGGGUAUCUAUUUGUUGAGAAGUUGGUCAAACUUGGUCAUUUAGAGGAAGUAAAAGUCGUAACAAGGUUUCCGUAGGUGAACCUGCGGAAGGAUCAUUAAAAAAUGAGGCAUUUUAUACCUCUUGUAUUUAAAACCCAAUUCUUUUUAAAAUAUAAAAUUUUUUUUAAAAAAAAAAAAAAAACUUUCAACAAUGGAUCUCUUGGCUCUCGCAUCGAUGAAGAACGCAGCGAAAUGCGAUAAGUAAUAUGAAUUGCAGAAUUCCGUGAAUCAUCAAAUUUUUGAACGCAAAUUGCACUUCUUGGUAUUCCGAGGAGUACACAUGCUUGAGGGUCAGUUAAAAAAAAAAAUCGUACAUCUUUGAUGUUGCGGAUCUGUGUAUUCCGAUUUUAUUAAUCGGUUACCUAAAAUUAAUAUGUAUAUGUAAUGUGAAGUGUACUAAUGAUAGUCGCUAAUCAUUUGUAUUUAUUACAUUACGACUUAAGUAUUUUGGUGGUGGUGUAUAAUUUAUGAAAAUGACCUCAAGUCAUGUGAGAGUACCCGCUGAACUUAAGCAUAUCAAUAAGCGGAGGAAAAGAAACUAACAAGGAUUCCCCUAGUAACGGCGAGUGAAGCGGGAAGAGCACAAAUUUAAAAUCUACCUGGUUUUCAGGUCGAGUUGUAAUUUGAAGAAAUGUUUUUGACAUUCCGGGUUGGACUAAAUUCUUUGGGAUAAGGUAUCAUAGAGGGUGAGAAUCCCGUAUAUACCAACCAUAGGGAUGUUAUUUAAUAACGUUUCUAAGAGUCGAGUUGUUUGGGAAUGCAGCUCUAAAUGGGUGGUAAAUUUCACCUAAUGCUAAAUAUAAGCGAGAGACCGAUAGCGAACAAGUACAGUGAUGGAAAGAUGAAAAGAACUUUGAAAAGAGAGUUAAAUAGUACGUGAAAUUGUUGAAAGGGAAACGAUUGAAGUCAGUCAUGCCGGCGGGAAUCAACUUAGGAUAAACUCUGGGUGCAUUUCUUCGUUUGGCAGGUUAGCGUCGAUUUUGGAUGUCAUAAAAUGAUUAGGGGAAGGUAGCUCUUUCGGGAGUGUUAUAGCCCUUGGUAGAUGUGAUGUCUGGGAUCGAGGAUUGCAACGGAUACCCUUCGGGGCUAGCCGCCUGAUCUCUAAUUGGUGUUGGGUUACGGAUAGCAUGCUGACCGUGAUUUGAUUACUGGUUAAAAGGUUAGAGCGUGCAUAAAUUCGUUAAGGACGCUGACGUAAUGGCUUUAAACGACCCGUCUUGAACACGGACCAAGGAG
rnacentral:rRNA from 1 species